rnacentral:misc_RNA from 1 species
GAUGAAGAACGGAGCGAAAUGCGAUAAGUAAUGUGAAUUGCAGAAUUCAGUGAAUCAUCGAAUCUUUGAACGCACCUUGCGCCCUUUGGCCAUUCCGAAGGGCAUGCCUGUUUGAGUAUCAUGAACACCUCAACUCUCAUGGGUCGCCAUGAUGAGCUUGGACUUUGGGGGUCUUGCUGGCCUGUGGUCGGCUCCUCUCAAAUGGAUCAGCUUGCCAGUGUUUGGUGGCAUCACAGGUGUGAUAACUAUCUGCGCUUGUGGUUUUCCAUCAGAUAACCAUCAGUGAUGGAGGUUCGCUGGAGCUCAUAAACGUCUCCCCUAAGCGGGGACAGCCCUUUGAAUGUUUGAUCUCAAAUCAGGUAGGACUACCCGCUGAACUUAAGCAUAUCAAUAAGCGGAGGA